GUUCCUGCUCCAUCUGUCCAACCUUCCAAAUGAUACAGGUUUGGGGAAAACAAGCAAAACAUAGAAUAAUCAUCUCAGACUUUCAUAAGCCGAAAACAAAUAUAGAAAAAUGAAAAUAAUAAGAAUAGCAUGCCCAUUAGAAAAGAAAUCCCAGUUCAUAUAGAAAUUCUGCAACAUAUGCAAGUAAGCUUUACUUCCUCAAAACUUUGUUUCUCAAGUAUUUCAUAUUCUGAGAGUAAUAGGACUCCAACCUGUAGAACCCCCUUCAG
rnacentral:misc_RNA from 1 species